rnacentral:misc_RNA from 1 species
AACGCAUCUUGCGGUCGUUGGUAUUCCAACGACCACGCCUGUUUCAGUAUCAAAAACACCCCACAUUCAUAAUUUUAUUAUUAUUGAAUGGUUUUGGGAGUCUACCGGCUUUAGUGUCGGUUCUCCUUAAUAAUAUUUGGCCAAGGUUGUUCUUUCUGUCUGCCUGAACUUUUUUUUAAUUUAAAAGAUUGUUCUUGCUAUUUUGUACAGAGGUUCCAAUAUCGUGGGCCCAUCAAAUAAUUUUUUUAAUUUUGAUCUGAAAUCAGGCGGGAUUACCCGCUGAACUUAA